AAUCAUUUAGCUUAAAUUAAGCCUAUGUUUUGAAAGCAUAAGAAAGAAGUUCAUUCCUUCUAAUGAUUU
rnacentral:tRNA from 1 species